GAUGAACGCUGGCGGCGUGCCUAAUACAUGCAAGUCGAGCGAACAGAUGAGGCGCUUGCUCCUCUGACGUUAGCGGCGGACGUGUGAGUCACACGUGGAUAACCUACCUAUAAUACUGGGAUCACUUCGGGAAACCGGAUCUAAUCCCGUAUAAUAUAUUGAACCGCAUUGUUCAAUAGUGAAAGACGGUUUUGCUGUCUCUUAUCGAUGGAUCCGCGCCGGAUUAGCUAGUUGGUAAGGUAACGGCCUACCAAGGCAACGAUGCGUAGCCGACUUGAGAGGGUGAUCGGCCACACUGGAACGGAGACACGGUCCAGACUCCUACGGGAGGCAGCAGUAGGGAAUCUUCCGCAAUAGGCGAAAGCAUGACGGAGCAACGCCGCGUGAGUGAUGAAGGUCUUCGGAUCGUAAAACUCUGUUAUUAGGGAAGAACAAAUGUGUAAGUAACUAUGCACGUCUUGACGGUAACUAAUCAGAAAGCCACGGCUAACUACGUG
rnacentral:rRNA from 1 species